ACCUGAAAGGGUACUGGAAAAUUCUAGCUACACAGCCCCUCCCGUUGAUUGGUCGACAGAAUCGUCACUUCCGGGCGACGUGGGGAUAAAAACAAGCAAACAGUAGCCUCGAGGUAUUAUUCGUUACAAUGAACAUGUCGCGUAAAACGCUUGCUUGGGCGAACAAGGAGAUGGAGACGUUCCUCGCAUUCUUGGGGAGGAAGACGUGCAGAGGGAGCUUGAUGGAGCAGUGAGGAACGAGAAGGUUUCUGCUCUGUUUCUGGUCGAAAGGCGAUUGCGGGGUACGAGAAGAACACUGAGCAGUGUCGGCAGAAAUGCAAAAAGCUCCGGGCCGAGUAUCCGAAGGUGAACGACCACAACAACCGCAGAGGCGUCGACAGGAAGAUGUGGAAGUGGUUUAACAUCAUGGACGCAACGCAAUCUACGGACACCGACCGGCGAGUAGAGGAAGAGAGGGGGCCAUCGACACGGCCACCUAUCUGCUCGAGUCCAUGUUGGAGCCCACCGGUGAGGAACCUCGCUACCAGGAAGUGCCUGACUCGGCCUUCCCAGAGGACGAAGACAUGGGGUCAAGCCGUUGUGUGAGCCCAACGCCACCACCAAGGACAUCUACACCAGUCCCAGUGGAGAGUGCUGCUCUUUGCAACACCACCAACCCCACCUAUCCACGGCCUUUUGCCUUUGCCAAAAGAAGUAGGGCCAGUGAUGUUUGAGCUUCCC